ACGUAGGGGGCAAGCGUUGAUCGGAAUCACUGGGCGUAAAGCGCGUGCAGGCGGUUCGGUAAGUUGGGCGUGAAAUCUCCCGGCUCAACUGGGAGAGGUCGUUCAAUACUACCGGACUUGAGAGCGAUAGAGGAAAAUGGAAUUCCCGGUGUAGUGGUAAAAUGCGUAGUUAUCGGGAGGAACACCAGUGGCGAAAGCGACCUGCUCGGCCUUGCCUGACGCUCAGACGCGAAAGCAUGGGGAGCGAACGG
rnacentral:rRNA from 1 species